AUGGUUGUUUUGUAGAGAUAGUUUUAAUAUGUACUAGUUAUUAUACUAACAUGAAAUAAUGGGAUAACCACGGCUAAAUCGAAUGCAGCGGGCGCGAGAAUAAGGGUGUUCAUAAAUGAAAUGGAGCUUGAAGUGACCCCAGGACCGUUCAAUGUGAGAGAUGCAUUCGGGGAAGAAGUUGUGCUCAUUAAUUCUGCGGGUCAGCCCAUUGUCACCGAUGAAUAUGGCGUCGCUCUUCAACCUCUUCAACACGGAGCGUCAUACUAUCUGAUCUAGUCGUGUGGGAGAUUUGAGUUUGAAGAAGAAAUUAAGAGCUCUCUUUCUUUCACCAUCUCUCGUACGUAGGCUUAAAUGUUUAGAUUUUAUAUAAGAUAUGGGUUUCAGUUACCUAUUGGGAUGGUUUGAUGUAUGAGUUUCGGACAACAUUCACAAAACUCUCUCGUUAGAUUGUUGACCAAUAUAAUUAUAUGCUGUGUGUUUCAUU